rnacentral:rRNA from 1 species
UACGUAGGGGGCUAGCGUUAUCCGGAAUUACUGGGCGUAAAGGGUGCGUAGGUGGUUUCUUAAGUCAGAGGUGAAAGGCUACGGCUCAACCGUAGUAAGCCUUUGAAACUGGGAAACUUGAGUGCAGGAGAGGAGAGUGGAAUUCCUAGUGUAGCGGUGAAAUGCGUAGAUAUUAGGAGGAACACCAGUUGCGAAGGCGGCUCUCUGGACUGUAACUGACACUGGAGGCACGGAAAGCGUGGGGAGCAAACAGG